ACCUCGGAUCAGGUAGGAAUACCCGCUGAACUUAAGCAUAUCAAUAAGCGGAGGAAAAGAAACCAACAGGGAUUGCCCUAGUAACGGCGAGUGAAGCGGCAACAGCUCAAAUUUGAAAUCUGGCCUUCGGGUCCGAGUUGUAAUUUGUAGAGGAUGCUUUUGGUGAGGUGCCUUCCGAGUUCCCUGGAACGGGACGCCAUAGAGGGUGAGAGCCCCGUCUGGUUGGACACCGAUCCUCUGUAAAGCUCCUUCGACGAGUCGAGUAGUUUGGGAAUGCUGCUCUAAAUGGGAGGUAUAUGUCUUCUAAAGCUAAAUAUUGGCCAGAGACCGAUAGCGCACAAGUAGAGUGAUCGAAAGAUGAAAAGCACUUUGAAAAGAGAGUUAAAAAGUACGUGAAAUUGUUGAAAGGGAAGCGCUCAUGACCAGACUUGGGCUUGGUUGAUCAUCCAGGGUUCUCCCUGGUGCACUCUUCCAGUUCAGGCCAGCAUCAGUUCGCUGUGGGGGAUAAAGGCUUUGGGAAUGUGGCUCCCUCGGGAGUGUUAUAGCCCAUUGUGUAAUACCCUGUGGUGGAC
rnacentral:rRNA from 5 species